ACGCACGCUGGCGGCGUGCUUCACACAUGCCAGUCGAACGGAAAGGCCCUGCUUUUGUGGGGUGCUCGAGUGGCGAACGGGUGAGUAACACGUGAGUAACCUGCCCUUGACUUUGGGAUAACUUCAGGAAACUGGGGCUAAUACCGGAUAGGAGCUCCUGCUGCAUGGUGGGGGUUGGAAAGUUUCGGCGGUUGGGGAUGGACUCGCGGCUUAUCAGCUUGUUGGUGGGGUAGUGGCUUACCAAGGCUUUGACGGGUAGCCGGCCUGAGAGGGUGACCGGCCACAUUGGGACUGAGAUACGGCCCAGACUCCUACGGGAGGCAGCAGUGGGAAAUAUUGCACAAUGGGCGGAAGCCUGAUGCAGCAACGCCGCGUGCGGGAUGACGGCCUUCGGGUUAUAAACCGCUUUCGCCUGUGACGAAGCGUGAGUGACGGUAAUGGGUAAAGAAGCACCGGCUAACUACGUG
rnacentral:rRNA from 1 species